GAUGAAGAACGUAUCGAAAUGCGAUAAGUAAUGCGAAUUGCAGAAUUCAGUGAGUCAUCGAAUCUUUGAACGCACAUUGCGCCCUGUGGUAUUCCGCAGGGCAUGCCUGUUCGAGCGUCAUUUCAACCCUCAAGCUCUGCUUGGUGUUGGGCCCUGCCCGCUGCGGCCGGCCCUAAAGACAGUGGCGGUGCCGCCUGGCCCUGAGCGUAGUACAUCUCUCGCUCCAGUGCCCGGUGGUAGCCUGCCAGAACCCCAACUCUCGUGGUUGACCUCGGAUCAGGUAGGGAUACCCGCUGAACUUAAGCAUAUCAAUAAGCGGAGGA
rnacentral:misc_RNA from 1 species